CCUACGGGAGGCAGCAGUAAGGAAUAUUGGACAAUGGACGCAAGUCUGAUCCAGCCAUGCCGCGUGAAGGAUUAAGGCCCUCUGGGUUGUAAACUUCUUUUAUAGGGGACGAAAAAAGGGCUUUCUAGCUCGACUGACGGUACCCUAUGAAUAAGCACCGGCUAACUCCGUGCCAGCAGCCGCGGUAAUACGGAGGGUGCAAGCGUUAUCCGGAUUCACUGGGUUUAAAGGGUGCGUAGGCGGGCAGUUAAGUCAGUGGUGAAAUCUUCGAGCUCAACUCGGAAACUGCCAUUGAUACUAUCUGUCUUGAAUAUUGUGGAGGUGAGCGGAAUAUGUCAUGUAGCGGUGAAAUGCUUAGAUAUGACAUAGAACACCAAUUGCGUAGGCAGCUCGCUACACAAAUAUUGACGCUGAGGCACGAAAGCGUGGGGGAUCAAACAGGAUUAGAUACCCUGGUAGUCCACGCCCUAAACUAUGAUUACUCGACAUAUGCGAUACACUGUAUGUGUCUGNGNGAAGANAUAUAUACACGNGAGACGACGCGAGUAGUAAGUAAUAGAGUAGAGNGNGAGAGNGCGAGGACGACGACGAGGGAGGAGG
rnacentral:rRNA from 1 species